rnacentral:rRNA from 1 species
UACGAAGGGGGCUAGCGUGGCUCGGAAUUACUGGGCGUAAAGCGCACGUAGGCGGAUUGUUAAGUCGGGGGUGAAAUCCUGGAGCUCAACUCCAGAACUGCCUUCGAUACUGGCGAUCUCGAGUUCGGGAGAGGUGAGUGGAACUGCGAGUGUAGAGGUGAAAUUCGUAGAUAUUCGCAAGAACACCAGUGGCGAAGGCGGCUCACUGGCCCGAUACUGACGCUGAGGUGCGAAAGCGUGGGGAGCAAACAGG